UUGAACGCUGGCGGCAGGCCUCACCCCUGCAAGUCGAGCGGAUGAAGGGAGCUUGCUCCUGGAUUCAGCGGCGGACGGGUGAGUAAUGCCUAGGAAUCUGCCUGGUAGUGGGGGAUAACGUCCGGAAACGGGCGCUAAUACCGCAUACGUCCUGAGGGAGAAAGUGGGGGAUCUUCGGACCUCACGCUAUCAGAUGAGCCUAGGUCGGAUUAGCUAGUUGGUGGGGUAAAGGCCUACCAAGGCGACGAUCCGUAACUGGUCUGAGAGGAUGAUCAGUCACACUGGAACUGAGACACGGUCCAGACUCCUACGGGAGGCAGCAGUGGGGAAUAUUGGACAAUGGGCGAAAGCCUGAUCCAGCCAUGCCGCGUGUGUGAAGAAGGUCUUCGGAUUGUAAAGCACUUUAAGUUGGGAGGAAGGGCAGUAAGUUAAUACCUUGCUGUUUUGACGUUACCAACAGAAUAAGCACCGGCUAACUUCGUG
rnacentral:rRNA from 1 species